AAGCGUCGUAAGUUGAAUUUCGGGGUUCUACCGUUCGGUCGGGCUAACCAGUCUGUACUAGCGUGUAGAAUUCCUACCUUCUGGGGAACCAUCAUGUUAUUAAUUUAGCGUGGUGGGAAACCAGGACCUUUACCUUGAAAAAAUUAGAGUGUUCAAAGCAGGCUUACGUCUGAAUACAUUAGCAUGGAAUAAUAAAAUAGGACGGUGGUCCUGUUUUGUUGGUUUCUGAAUCACCGUAAUGAUUAAUAGGGAUAGUUGGG
rnacentral:rRNA from 1 species